UUUACGUGUUUUCCAAAAAAAAAUUUGCUCUGCUUCACUCACGUGCCAAACACGAACAUUGCAUCAUCCUUCUUCUUCCCAAAAAAAACCGCAUCAACUCUUCUUCCUCCCCAACACCCUUUCUAUUCUCUCUGUCAACACUCAACAGUUGUUUCUUAGCCUUCCCAAAUCGAAAAUCGUCUGAGUUUGCUCCACGAUUUCACCGAGUUCGCACUCUACUCUUCAACCGUUGACCGGUGUGCACCGUCGCCGGUACAAUUCGUCAUUGCAAUCGAGUAAUCCGUCAAGUGUAUUCUCAUAACAGGUUUUAUCACUCACACUUUGGGGAGAACUGAAAGCCAAGCACCUCACGCUUGAAAGUUUAUCGCAAGUGCAAGGGAAACUUCUGAUGGAGUGUAAGAAGUUGAUAUUGGCUCAACAAAAUGGGCUCCUUCUCAAGGUCUAAAAAUUGCUACAGAAUCUCAGGUCUUAACCCCCAUAACUUGCAAGAAUCAUACACCUUUGUAAUGGUACUCCUAGAUAUAUUUGUUGAAAGACUUAGAUUAUCGUUGCAAUAAUAUUGUUUUUUUGAUCUUAACUAAUGGUUUAAUUAUCUAUAGGAAGUUUAAAACUUGAUAAUUAAGGUGUUAGUGGCUAAACCUGGUUCGUCUUAUCCGGUUUAACUCGCUACCCAACCGCCCAUCUAACCACCUGUACUUGCAGUAAUUAAAUUGAUAAAUGGAGUGAUCAACCUUCAGUUUGCAAGUGUAAAUAGAUGUGAUAAGUUGAUUAAAAAAAUGCAUACCACAGAGUCACUGAAGUUCAUGGUAGAUAGGGAGAAAGGGAGACUAAACCUUCUGGUGGUGGUUAGCCACCGUACGCGGCGGUGAUGCCACCCACUCCGGCGAGGGCCGUUGGUUACGAUUGGGCUGGAGAAAAACUGCAUGGCAAUCUCAAGUUCAGGUUGCAUGGGCUAAUCACUUGAACCAAACAUAAAUGGAGAAAUCCUGAUUGGCUAACCAGGUAAAUUGUUUCUUCAAAACCCUUAUUUGCUUUUGGCUGGGGGUGAGCAUUUCAAGGACCCAACCGGCAGAACUAUGGAUCCGGACCACCAAGAGAUAUGACCGGCCCGUUUGAUGAUUUAGUGUAAGGUUCCCGGUUCCCUGAUUUGUUGCAGUGCGCAAAUGCCAAAUCCCAAAUCUCAAGCUGCUGAUUCAUUGGUAAGAAGAUCACCGCUUGAUUCCAUAUCACCAAGGAAGCGAUUAGCUCUUACAAUAACACAGUUUGAAUCAGACAAAUCAAAGUACAAGGGUUUUGCCCGUAUGGAAGAAAAGUUAAGAGACUUAAAAGCAGUUGGCCGAGAAAACGUCUAUACUUAAUUCAUAGGGACUUCAGUAAACGGGUUGAAAGAAUAUAAAGCCAAAAUAAUGUGUACUUAUUGUAACGAAGUUUUGUGCAGUUUGAAGCUAGACGACCAUUGGUGGGUGCAAAUGUAGAUGGAUGAACAUGUUCAGUUCAAGAGAGGAUUAUUAUCAAGGGAUGAUCCGAACAAGAUUUAUAAAAGUAUGUAAAAGGUUAAUGGCAUUUGUAUUGUCAUAGGUUUUACAUGCUUAAUGUUUAGUGUUAUUUAACUUUCCCGCCGCAACACGGAUGGACUUUCGUCUAUCGUUUAUAUACGUUACGCCUUAAUUUGUAUGCCCCCGGCCGCAACGCGGCGGGGUUCCAUCUAGUUUGAUUAAAAAAACCAAU